rnacentral:rRNA from 1 species
GACGAACGCUGGCGGCGUGCUUAACACAUGCAAGUCGAACGGAAAGGCCCUGCUUUUGUGGGGUGCUCGAGUGGCGAACGGGUGAGUAACACGUGAGUAACCUUCCCUUGACUUUGGGAUAACUUCAGGAAACUGGGGCUAAUACCGGAUAGGAGCUCCUGCUGCAUGGUGGGGGUUGGAAAGUUUCGGCGGUUGGGGAUGGACUCGCGGCUUAUCAGCUUGUUGGUGGGGUAGUGGCUUACCCAGGCUUUGACGGGUAGCCGGCCUGAGAGGGUGACCGGCCACAUUGGGACUGAGAUACGGCCCAGACUCCUACGGGAGGCAGCAGUGGGGAAUAUUGCACAAUGGGCGGAAGCCUGAUGCAGCAACGCCGCGUGCGGGAUGACGGCCUUCGGGUUGUAAACCGCUUUCGCCUGUGACGAAGCGUGAGUGACGGUAAUGGGUAAAGAAGCACCGGCUAACUACGUG